CAGGGGUGGGAGUGGGGGGUGGGAAUGGUUUCAGGAUAAAACUGUUCCACCUCAGAUCAUCAGGCAUUAGUUAGAUUCUCAUAAGGAGUGUGCAAACUAGAUCCCUCACAUGCACAGUUCUCAAUAGGGUUCACGGACCAGUACCCCAUUACCGGUUUGUGGCCUGGGGUUGGGGACCCCUGACAUAGGCCACUCACUUAGAAGGGCUUCAUACAGAGUUUAAUGCUGUCCUGCCACCUUCUUGAAAUCUUAACAAUUUUUGAACAAGGGGCCAUAUAAGUUGUAUUUUACACUGGACCAUUCAAGUUGUACAGCUGGUCUGGACCUAGGCUCUUCCCUAGGAGCUCUGUUUCACAGGGAAUCAGCCAGGGAGUUGACAACUGCAGUUCAGUACGAUGGGGGUUGUGACAGAAGCAGGGUAGCCGUGAAAGAAGAACAGGACCUUGGCCAGUAUUCAGCUCACUUGGGUCAUCCUCCCCAGCUGUGCAACCUGCCCAGCUGCCAAUGACUUACCACUGUGCUCCUUGGUGGGAGGAUGGCCUUGGUUUAGCACCAGGGCCUGUAGCCCCAGACAGCAGCUGCAAACCCUGCCACCCUAAGAGGCCACUGCUAGGUCAUGUCAACACCAGGAAAUGUGUGUCAUUGGAGCCCUAAGCUGUUCUCAUGUCCUCCAACCCAGGACUCAUGUCCCUGAUCUCAUGUCCCCGAUCACCAGACUGCCAGUGGACUCUACUUUCUGCUGCCUGCCCAGACCCAGUCAACUUCCAGAAAAGGGCACAUAAAGUGAUCCACACUGAAAAGCAAUUGGCAGACAAAACCUAAUGGGCUAUUCAUCCAAAGGAAACUUGGGUUUUAUUAGGGGUAUCUGGUGUCCUCCUGGCCUGCAUUCUGACAUAUAAUAAGCAUCUAAGUCAUGACAAUUGAGUGAACAUACAAAAGGUAAAUACAUAUGGCAAAGCCUAGAAUUGGAAUUGGCAGUUUGAAGGCCAUUGGCCCAAGAACAGGGUAUUUUCGGUUGUGUUCUCUUUUCUUUCUUUUUUUUGGAUGAGUGCUGGAAGCCCCAACACAAUUGUUUGGGAAUAAAUGGAAGUGAGGAAUGGAGAAGUAAGGAGGUACCACUCUCAAGGAGGCUGUCAGUAGAGGGGACAAAGAGUGUGAGAGAGGAACAGAAGAACCAAGCAGGAGACUGGAAGAGGCUGCAUACAGAAGGGCAGCAUCUGCCCCACCUCCCAGAGCUUCGCCAGCAAAGGCCAAAUCAAACAGCGGCCCAGAGCAGAGGGCUGGCCAGCUCUACAGAGCCAGCAAACACCAGAGGGAAAUCACCCUGGAUCCAUAUCUUCUAACCUUUGCCUCUGUGAGCAUGUUUGGGAAGGAGACAUCUAUGAGAUUGCAGGAGCCAAUUCAGGCUACAUGCUUAUAGCUGCAAUUGAAAAAUUAGGCUAGAAUGCAGGGCCUCCCUGAAGAUAUUUCUGAAAAUCAUGUACUUCCUUUAAGGGAUUUACAAAUCUGGAGUCCUUCCAAAACAGGACAAGUAAGACAUGAGCAGUGACUUUCUACUCUCCAUCCAGCAGCCAACAAUAGACUUCGUCAUUCAGAUGGAGCUGCAGAGGUACAGACCUGAGAGAGCUGGAAGUCAUAGAGCCAAUCCCAUGUAUUACUGACGAGGUAACUAUGGCUCAGGGUGACUUGACCUGUAAGCCACAAGCUUGUGGGUGACCACUCCAGGCCCUGAAUGGAGGAUUUCACUCCAUCCCCCUGCCCCACAAGUGGCCUCUGAGAGACAGAGUACCUGAUGCCACCUUAUGUGGGAUAUUGUUUUUGCUGUCACGAAUUUCUGAAUCCCCUCUUUGUGGAAUAGAGAAAUCAAAGCCACCAUACGUUCAAGGGUAUCCACUAAAGAAGCCACAUGGUUACUUCAGCUAAAAAUAAAUUAAAGACCUAACAAUGAAUUAUCAUUUAUCUAAUCAUCUGGGAAUGAUGAAAUUAAUGUUUCGUAUCUACUAUUUUACAGUUAUAAAUUGCUUAGAAAGUAUAGAUAUUUUUCCCUCAUAAUUCUGCUUUCCCAUGAGUGCACAUGCAUACACACAAGACCCAACCACAGUAUCUUGACCGUGAAUAUAAUAAAUAAGGAAAUAACAAAUGUAGUAAGGUGAAGGAGGGGGUUCUGUCAGCCCAAGAAUGUUCUAGGCCUAGUGUUUGGUGGAGCCAACCAGCUCCUACAAGCCAGCGAAAACAAAGAAAAGUGCCUGGCCAUUUCAUUACAGAGUGCUUCCCAAUAAUCUAAUUCCUCCACCAUCAAAAUUUGGUCAGGGAACAUCACCAUUUUUAGAGAGAUGCUUUGUUUUGAUAAAACAACCCUUCUGUAUUAGUCUCUUCUCAUGCUGCUGAUCAAGACUUACCUGAGACUGGGUAAUUUAUAAACGAAAAGAGGUUUAGUGGACUCACAGUUCCAUGUGGCUGGGGAGGCCUCACAAUCAUGGUGGAGGGCAAAAGGCACGUCUUAUAUGGUGGCAGACAAGAGAGAGCUUGGGCAGGGAAACUCCCCUUUAUCAAACCAUCAAAUCUCGUGAGACUUAUUCACUAUCACAAGAACAGCACAGGAAAGACCCACCCCUAUGAUUCAAUUACCUCCCACCAGGUCCCUCCCAUGACAAAUGGGAAUUGUGGGAGCUACAAUUCAAGAGGAGAUUUGAGUGGGGACACAGCCAAACUAUAUCACCUUCUAAGCUUAUGUCUCACUAUUCACCCACAAAUAGGCUGUAAAGAGCCCAGCAUUUGCUUUCUAGCAAUGGUGUCAUACCAGCUUUGCUUUCCCUGCCUGCAGGGCCCUCCAUGCAUCUCUGUUUAAAGUCUAAAGCCAGAUCCAGCUUUCAUGCUGCCUACUGCAGAAAGACACCUCUGGUGUUUCUCAACCAGAGGAGCCUCCCC
rnacentral:lncRNA from 1 species